AGACGCUACGGACUUGGAAAAUCCGUCGAAUUUUAAAAUCGUGAGGGUUCAAGUCCCUCUAUCCCCA
rnacentral:tRNA from 2 species